UGGGGAAUCUUGCACAAUGGGGGCAACCCUGAUGCAGCGACGCCGCGUGAGCGAUGAAGCCCUUCGGGGCGUAAAGCUCUUUCGACCGGAACGAUAAUGACGGUACCGGGAGAAGAAGCUGCGGCUAACUACGUGCCAGCAGCCGCGGUAAUACGUAGGCAGCAAGCGUUGUUCGGAGUUACUGGGCGUAAAGAGUGCGUAGGCGGUUUUCUAAGUUCGGUGUGAAAUCUCCCGGCUUAACUGGGAGGGUGCGCCGAAGACUGGGAAGCUUGAGUGUGGGAAAGGCAGGCGGAAUUCCUGGUGUAGCGGUUAAAUGCGUAGAUAUCAGGAGGAACACCGGCGGUGUAGACGGCUUGCUAGACCAUAACUGACGCUGAGGCACGAAAGCGUGGGUAGCAAACA
rnacentral:rRNA from 1 species